AGGGGGGGGUAUUUUUCUAGGGCUUGGGGACAGGAGAAUUUAUUCAAUAAAUGUAUACCUAACCUGAGUACCACACUUACAACAUGAAGAAGAAAAAAAUAAUGGUGUCGUAAUCACACAAUAUGGAGUAUAUCAAAAUGAUACAACGGAGGUGAACACAUCAUGGCAUAUUCAGAAGUUGAGUCUGAUGACCAAAUAUCCACUUGUGUUCCUGGAACCUAUCAUUUCCUUUUUUGAAAUUCAGUAUGCCUCUUCAUAUUUUAAAAUUAGUUUGUGUAGCCCCCCCCCCCC